rnacentral:misc_RNA from 1 species
GAAAAAAAAAAACCCUCCUUAACCUUGUUCAUCUUUUCUUGCAACAUAACAUUGCCGUUGUAGCAAACUUAAGGUGGAAAUGAAUAGAAAUUUUGAAUCAUACAGAAAUGGAUUCUUUCGUAUUUGAAACCAAGGGAAGAGGAAGGGGGGGAGAAGAGACUUGAAAAGAAAAUACAUAAUAGUGCAAUUACUCCUACAACCAUGUGCAGGCCUAUGGUUUUUCAAUGACAGCCUAUUACACUAAGAAAACAAAAUGAACUACAAACCAAUAUGUCAUAUGCUAGGAGUAUCUUCUUCUACGCUAACAAAUCUAGGUUUAUUCAGCCAAUAGCAAAGAUAACAAAUAGUAUAGAACUUACUGAUUCAAGUUAAUAUCUUCCGCAAAUGAAUUUUGUUGUCCAAUCUUGUCAUCAUAACAU